rnacentral:rRNA from 1 species
CCUACGGGACGCACCAGUGGGGAAUAUUGCACAAUGGGCGCAAGCCUGAUGCAGCCAUGCCGCGUGUAUGAAGAAGGCCUUCGGGUUGUAAAGUACUUUCAGCGGGGAGGAAGGUGUGGAGGUUAAUAACCUCAGCAAUUGACGUUACCCGCAGAAGAAGCACCGGCUAACUCCGUGCCAGCAGCCGCGGUAAUACGGAGGGUGCAAGCGUUAAUCGGAAUUACUGAGCGUAAAGCGCACGCAGGCGGUCUGUCAAGUCGGAUGUGAAAUCCCCGGGCUCAACCUGGGAACUGCAUUCGAAACUGGCAGGCUAGAGUCUUGUAGAGGGGGGGUAGAAUUCCAGGUGUAGCGGUGAAAUGCGUAGAGAUCUGGAGGAAUACCGGUGGCGAAGGCGGCCCCCUGGACAAAGACUGACGCUCAGGUGCGAAAGCGUGGGGAGCAAACAGGAUUAGAUACCCGAGUAGUC